rnacentral:rRNA from 1 species
AAAUUGAAGAGUUUGAUCAUGGCUCAGAUUGAACGCUGGCGGCAGGCCUAACACAUGCAAGUCGAGCGGUAGCACAGAGAGCUUGCUCUCGGGUGACGAGCGGCGGACGGGUGAGUAAUGUCUGGGAAACUGCCUGAUGGAGGGGGAUAACUACUGGAAACGGUAGCUAAUACCGCAUAAUGUCGCAAGACCAAAGUGGGGGACCUUCGGGCCUCAUGCCAUCAGAUGUGCCCAGAUGGGAUUAGCUAGUAGGUGGGGUAACGGCUCACCUAGGCGACGAUCCCUAGCUGGUCUGAGAGGAUGACCAGCCACACUGGAACUGAGACACGGUCCAGACUCCUACGGGAGGCAGCAGUGGGGAAUAUUGCACAAUGGGCGCAAGCCUGAUGCAGCCAUGCCGCGUGUGUGAAGAAGGCCUUCGGGUUGUAAAGCACUUUCAGCGGGGAGGAAGGCGUUAAGGUUAAUAACCUUGGCGAUUGACGUUACCCGCAGAAGAAGCACCGGCUAACUCCGUGCCAGCAGCCGCGGUAAUACGGAGGGUGCAAGCGUUAAUCGGAAUUACUGGGCGUAAAGCGCACGCAGGCGGUCUGUCAAGUCGGAUGUGAAAUCCCGGCUCAACACGGAACUGCAUUCGAAACUGGCAGGCUAGAGUCUUGUAGAGGGGGGUAGAAUUCCAGGUGUAGCGGUGAAAUGCGUAGAGAUCUGGAGGAAUACCGGUGGCGAAGGCGGCCCCCUGGACAAAGACUGACGCUCAGGUGCGAAAGCGUGGGGAGCAAACAGGAUUAGAUACCCUGGUAGUCCACGCCGUAAACGAUGUCGAUUUGGAGGUUGUGCCCUUGAGGCGUGGCUUCCGGAGCUAACGCGUUAAAUCGACCGCCUGGGGAGUACGGCCGCAAGGUUAAAACUCAAAUGAAUUGACGGGGGCCCGCACAAGCGGUGGAGCAUGUGGUUUAAUUCGAUGCAACGCGAAGAACCUUACCUGGUCUUGACAUCCACAGAACUUUCCAGAGAUGGAUUGGUGCCUUCGGGAACUGUGAGACAGGUGCUGCAUGGCUGUCGUCAGCUCGUGUUGUGAAAUGUUGGGUUAAGUCCCGCAACGAGCGCAACCCUUAUCCUUUGUUGCCAGCGGUUAGGCCGGGAACUCAAAGGAGACUGCCAGUGAUAAACUGGAGGAAGGUGGGGAUGACGUCAAGUCAUCAUGGCCCUUACGACCAGGGCUACACACGUGCUACAAUGGCAUAUACAAAGAGAAGCGACCUCGCGAGAGCAAGCGGACCUCAUAAAGUAUGUCGUAGUCCGGAUUGGAGUCUGCAACUCGACUCCAUGAAGUCGGAAUCGCUAGUAAUCGUAGAUCAGAAUGCUACGGUGAAUACGUUCCCGGGCCUUGUACACACCGCCCGUCACACCAUGGGAGUGGGUUGCAAAAGAAGUAGGUAGCUUAACCUUCGGGAGGGCGCUUACCACUUUGUGAUUCAUGACUGGGGUGAAGUCGUAACAAGGUAACCGUAGGGGAACCUGCGGUUGGAUCACCUCCUUACCUUAAAGAA